UUUUCUCUCUUUCACUGCAAGGCGGCGGCGGGAGCGGUUGUGGUGCUAGUUUUUCUAAGCCAUCCAGUGCCAUCCUCGUCGCUGCAGCGACACACGCGCUCGCCGCCGCCAUGACUGAGCAGAUGACCCUUCGUGGCACCCUCAAGGGCCACAACGGCUGGGUAACCCAGAUCGCUACUACUCCGCAGUUCCCGGACAUGAUCCUCUCCGCCUCUCGAGAUAAGACCAUCAUCAUGUGGAAACUGACCAGGGAUGAGACCAACUAUGGAAUUCCACAGCGUGCUCUGCGGGGUCACUCCCACUUUGUUAGUGAUGUGGUUAUCUCCUCAGAUGGCCAGUUUGCCCUCUCAGGAUCCUGGGAUGGAACCCUGCGCCUCUGGGAUCUCACAACGGGCACCACCACGAGGCGAUUUGUGGGCCAUACCAAGGAUGUGCUGAGUGUGGCCUUCUCCUCUGACAACCGGCAGAUUGUCUCUGGAUCUCGAGAUAAAACCAUCAAGCUAUGGAAUACCCUGGGUGUGUGCAAAUACACUGUCCAGUCUCACUCUGUCGCCCAAGCUGGAGUGCAGUGGCGCAAUCUCGGCUUACUGCAACCUCUGCCUCCCGGGCUCAAGCGAUUCUGGUGCCUCAGUCUCCUGAGUAGCUGGUACUACAGGUGCACAGCCACCAUGCCCAGCUAAUUUUUUUGUGUUUUAGUAGAGACGGGGUUUCACCAUGUUGCCCAGGGUGGUCUCAAAUUCCUGGGCUCAGGCGAUUUGCCUGCCUUAGCCUCCCAAAGUGCUGGGAUUACAGGAGUGAGCCCCCACGGCCUGUCUAUCUUUGCCUUUUUUUUUUUUUCUCAGAGACAGUUUCACUUGUUGCCCAGGCUGAAAUACAAUGGCGUGAUCUCGGCUGACCACAACCUCCGCCUUCUGGGUUCAAGCAGUUCUCCUGCCUCAGCCUCCCAAGUAGCUGGGAUUAGAGGCAUGCGCCACCAUGCCCGGUUUUGUAUUUUUAGUAGAGACG
rnacentral:sRNA from 1 species